GACGAAGGUGGCGAGCGUUGUUCGGAAUCACUGGGCAUAAAGCGCACGUAGGCGGCGACGUAAGUUGGGUGUGAAAUCCCUCGGUCCAACCGAGGAACUGCGCCCAGUACUGCGUUGCUUGAGGAUCCAAGGGGUGCAUGGAAUUCCCGGUGGAGCGGUGAAAUGCGUUGAUAUCGGGAGGAACUCCGGCGGCGAAAGCGGUGCACUGGUGGAUUACUGACGCUGAGGUGCGAAAGCCAGGGGAGCAAACGGG
rnacentral:rRNA from 1 species